UACGUAGGCAGCGAGCGUUUGUUCGGAGUUACUGGGCGUAAAGGGUGUGUAGGCGGUUGUUUAAGUUUGGUGUGAAAUCUCCCGGCUCAACUGGGAGGGUGCGCCGAAUACUGAAUGACUUGGAGUGCGGGAGAGGAGAGUGGAAUUCCUGGUGUAGCGGUGAAAUGCGUAGAUAUCAGGAGGAACACCGGUGGUGUAGACGGCUCUCGUCGA
rnacentral:rRNA from 1 species